rnacentral:rRNA from 1 species
AGCAUAUCAAUAAGCGGAGGAAAAGAAACUAACAAGGAUUCCCCUAGUAACGGCGAGUGAAGCGGGAAAAGCUCAAAUUUGUAAUCUGGCGCCUUCGGUGUCCGAGUUGUAAUCUCGAGAAGUAUUUUCCGCGCUGGACCGCACAUAAGUCUGUUGGAAUACAGCGUCAUAGUGGUGAGAACCCCGUAUAUGGUGCGGAUGCCCAGUGCUUUGUGAUAUACUUUCGAAGAGUCGAGUUGUUUGGGAAUGCAGCUCAAAUUGGGUGGUAAAUUCCAUCUAAAGCUAAAUAUUGGCGAGAGACCGAUAGCGAACAAGUACCGUGAGGGAAAGAUGAAAAGCACUUUGGAAAGAGAGUUAACAGUACGUGAAAUUGUUGGAAGGGAAACGCUUGAAGUCAGACUUGCAUUUUGGAGUUCAGCCGCAAGGUGUAUUCUUCAAAUCGCAGGCCAGCAUCAGUUUUCGGGGGUGGAAAAUCGCGGUUUGAAGGUAGCAGUCUCGGCUGUGUUAUAGCUUUCCGCUGGAUUCACUUUUGGGGACUGAGGAAAGGCAGUACGCUUUUUGCAAGAUCUCUAGAGUCUUCCGUACUUAG